rnacentral:rRNA from 1 species
CCUACGGGUGGCUGCAGUGGGGAAUUUUGGACAAUGGGGGCAACCCUGAUCCAGCCAUGCCGCGUGCGGGAAGAAGGCCUUCGGGUUGUAAACCGCUUUUGUCAGGGAAGAAAUCUUCCGAGCUAAUACCUUGGGAGGAUGACGGUACCUGAAGAAUAAGCACCGGCUAACUACGUGCCAGCAGCCGCGGUAAUACGUAGGGUGCAAGCGUUAAGCGGAACUACUGGGGGUGGAGCGUCCGGAGAGGGGUGAAAGCCCCGGGCUUAACCUGGGAACUGCACUUGUGACUGUACGGCUGGAGUACGGCAGAGGGGGAUGGAAUUCCGCGUGUAGCAGUGAAAUGCGUAGAUAUGCGGAGGAACACCGAUGGCGAAGGCAGUCCCCUGGGCCUGUACUGACGCUCAUGCACGAAAGCGUGGGGAGCAAACAGGAUUAGAUACCCGUGUAGUC